GGGCGGGGGGGCUGGAGCGGGCGAAGGAGGCCAGUGGGGGUGGGGCUGGGCGACCUCCUGAGCUGCCAUCGCCCGGGCUUUCCCGCUGCCCCGCCAAAGCGCUUCUCUCUCUCCCCCGCAAUGCUGCGCGGCUCUGACCCUGCCGCGGGCUGUGACCUCUGCCGGGAAGGCCCGGGAGCGGAGGAGGAAGCAGUGUUGAAGAUGAUGAGAGGAACAUGUCUGAACAUGCAAGAUCUUCAGCUGAACUGAACUGUGCUGUCAGGUACCAGUGACCUCGAGGUGGCAAUGCCUGGCACCUUCUGACAGAACCUUCUUAGUUCUAUGCUCAGAAAAGGCAAGCUCCACAGGAGAAUAUGUGAUUUGCUGGUCCUGUCUCAAUCUGCAUGACCCCUGUCCCAAUGUUUCUGAAGAUUGACUGUCGAGCAUGCUCAUUGAUGAAAGUGUGAAGAAGAUUAAAGGUAGAUAAACUCCAUACCUGAAAAUUAUUAAAACAAAUAAUCAGUAAUGUUUAUGCUUUCUCAACUCACUGAAAAUCAUUAAUGAAAACUCAGACCACCUAGCUUGAUCAGAUGUUUUUCAUCUUUUUGACAGUAACGGCACAUUCAUACUUGGUCUUCAUUUUCAAUCACUAAUAUUCUGAUAAAUAUUUAACUAUAAAAAUGCCAUUAAGGUAACAUCAAGGUUGCACAGUUAAACACUGAAGUCAGGAAGUGCAAAAGUUAAGACCUACUGAAUGAUCCAUUUCCCUGGCAAUGAAAAAUUCUAGUUGAGUAUUUUUAAAGAGGGAUUAGAAUUUUGCAAAUACUUAGUAUGAAAAAAUUAUACAAUGCCUUGUCCCACCAAAUUAAAGUUACCUUUAUAUUGCCUUCUGCAGAUCCUGUAACAAAGUAUUCUUCUGCAGGAUCCACAGCAAUUGCUUUAACUGGAGAAUCAUGACUCUGGAAUAGCUGUCGUUGUUGCUUUUGGCGAAGAUCAAGUAUACAAGUGACAAACAAUAUUCAUUGAAGAGGAGGAGGAUGGAGGACCUCUGUGGUACCGAUGACCGGAGAAUUACUAUGCCAAAAGAUGAGUCAGCUGCCAAAGCUUGCACCAGGACAUAGCAUCUUGUAAAGGUAGAACACCAGAGCCUGAUGGACAACUAGAGAAUUAAGUCUCCAGUCCUCCCCGGUAACAUACAGCUUUGGAAAGAUGACAGGUAACAUGUUAAGGACCAUAGAAAAUGCUAGGGACACUGAAUGGUUCUCUCUGAUCAUGAGGAGGUAGAAAGGAACUGGAGAAGGCCUGCACUGCCCCUUAUGCCCUUAGUUCAGUGCACAAGAAGGAGAAGGUCACAGGCACGGACAAAUGGACACUGCUAGCAACACACUUCUAGUCUCAGGCAUAUGGAGGGCAUGUGCACGCACAGCAGAAUGCACAUCGGGACCAUCACUUGAAGUGGAAUUCAUGCUAUGCUAAGUGCCACUUCAGCUGAAGUAUAGUUUAAACGGUAUAGGAUUGGACAGUGUAUGAAAAUAAAGAUGCAGCACAUAUUUAAAAAAAA